rnacentral:tRNA from 1 species
CCUCUUGUAGCUUAGUGGUCAGAUCAUUGGUCAGUAAAGCCAAAGGUCCCGGGUUCGACUCCCGGCAAGGGUG